rfam:Termite gut metagenome tgut2b_Contig36283, whole genome shotgun sequence.
CAACCCAUGCAGUGAUGUAUGGCUGAGCGUCCAGAAGUCAGCAGAGGCCAUAGUACCGCUAAGGGGAUGUCCCGUUUAGAGGGAGUACGAACGGAGCGGGAAGGGC